UGUUUCGGCUAGGGGGCCAUCCCGGCUUACCAACCCGAUGCAAACUGCGAAUACCGGAGAAUGUUAUCACGGGAGACACACGGCGGGUGCUAACGUCCGUCGUGAAGAGGGAAACAACCCAGACCGCCAGCUAAGGUCCCAAAGUCAUGGUUAAGUGGGAAACGAUGUGGGAAGGCCCAGACAGCCAGGAUGUUGGCUUAGAAGCAGCCAUCAUUUAAAGAAAGCGUAAUAGCUCACUGGUCGAGUCGGCCUGCGCGGAAGAUGUAACGGGGCUAAACCAUGCACCGAAGCUGCGGCAGCGACGCUG
rnacentral:rRNA from 1 species